CGCUGGCCCAUUACAGGGUAUGUGCACACCUGGCUCAAUUUCCACUCUUAACCUCUGUGCACUCUUUGUAGGUCGGUUGAUGCUGGCGCAAGUCAGUUUGAAGCCUUCCUAUGUUUUAUUACAAACGCUUCAGUUAUAGAAUGUUUACUUUGCUAUAACGCAAAUAUAUACAACUUUCAGCAACGGAUCUCUUGGCUCUCGCAUCGAUGAAGAACGCAGCGAAAUGCGAUAAGUAAUGUGAAUUGCAGAAUUCAGUGAAUCAUCGAAUCUUUGAACGCACCUUGCGCCCCUUGGUAUUCCGAGGGGCAUGCCUGUUUGAGUGUCAUGGAAUUCUCAUCCCCUAAAUUUAUUUUUGGUGGGCUUGGAUGUGGAGGUUGUGCCGGUUUGUUAAAAGCCGGCUCCUCUGAAAUGCAUUAGUGUGAAUCUUACUGAUCGCCUUCAGUGUGAUAAUUGUCUACGCUGUGGUUGUGAAGUAAAUUAAUGUUCAUGCUUCUAAUCGUCUCUUUUUGAGACAAUUACUUUGACAUCUGACCUCAAAUCAGGUAGGACUACCCGCUGAACUUAAGCAUAUCAAUAAGCGGAGGAAAAGAAACUAACAAGGAUUCCCCUAGUAACUGCGAGUGAAGCGGGAAAAGCUCAAAUUUAAAAUCUGGCAGUCUUUGGCUGUCCGAGUUGUAGUCUAGAGAAGUGUUUUCCGCGCUGGACCGUGUACAAGUCUCUUGGAACAGAGCGUCAUAGAGGGUGAGAAUCCCGUCCAUGACACGGACUACCAGUGCUUUGUGAUGCGCUCUCAAAGAGU
rnacentral:rRNA from 1 species